rnacentral:rRNA from 1 species
CACGUAGGGGGCGAGCGUUGUCCGGAUUUAUUGGGCGUAAAGAGCUCGUAGGCGGUUCGGCAAGUCGGGGGUGAAAUUUCGAGGCUCAACCUCGAAACGCCACUCGAUACUGCUGUGACUGGAGUCCGGUAGAGGAGUGCGGAAUUCCUGGUGUAGCGGUGAAAUGCGCAGAUAUCAGGAGGAACACCAGUGGCGAAGGCGGCUUCCUGGUCCGCGACUGACGCUGAGGCGCGAAAGCGUGGGGAGCGAUCCGG